rnacentral:rRNA from 1 species
AGUGAACGCUGGCGGUAGGCCUAACACAUGCAAGUCGAACGGCAGCACAGUAAGAGCUUGCUCUUACGGGUGGCGAGUGGCGGACGGGUGAGGAAUACAUCGUAAUCUACUUUUUCGGGGGGCAUAACGUAGGGAAACUUACGCUAAUACCGCAUACGACCUACGGUUGAAAGCAGUGGAUCUUCGGACCUUGCUCGACUGAAUGAGCCGAUGUCGGAUUAGCUAGUUGGCGGGGUAAAGGCCCACCAAGUCGACGAUCCGUAGCUGGUCUGAGAGGAUGAUAAGCCGCACUGGAACUGAGACACGGUCCAGACUCCUACGGGAGGCCGCAGUGGGGAAUAUUGGACAAUGGGGGCGAGCCUGAUCCAGCCAUACCGCGUGGGUGAAGAAGGCCUUCGGGUUGUGAAGCCCUUUUGUUGGGAAAGAAAAGCAGCAGGUUGAUACCCCGCUGUUCUGACGGUACCCAAAGAAUAAGCACCGGCUAACUUCGUG